CCUACGGGAGGCAGCAGUAGGGAAUAUUGCUCAAUGGGGGGAACCCUGAAGCAGCAACGCCGCGUGGAGGAUGAAGGUUUUCGGAUUGUAAACUCCUUUUGUUAGAGAAGAUAAUGACGGUAUCUAACGAAUAAGCACCGGCUAACUCCGUGCCAGCAGCCGCGGUAAUACGGAGGGUGCAAGCGUUAUUCGGAAUCACUGGGCGUAAAGAGCGCGUAGGCGGGAUAGCAAGUCAGAUGUGAAAUGCUAUGGCUUAACCAUAGAACUGCAUUUGAAACUGUUGUUCUAGAGUAUGGGAAAGGUAGGUGGAAUUCUUGGUGUAGAGGUAAAAUGCGUAGAGAUCAAGAGGAAUACUGAUUGCGAAGGCGGCCUGCUAGAACAUAACUGACGCUGAUGCGCGAAAGCGUGGGGAGCGAACAGGAUUAGAUACCCCAGUAGUC
rnacentral:rRNA from 1 species